UGUGAACUCAGAGUCACCCCAGGAACAAGCGGAAAGGACCUUGCACUUCUGAGGCUAUCUUCUUCCUGAACAAAAUGAUACACAAUAACGCUGUCUUCGAGGCUAUCUUCUUCCUGAAGUAUCCCGUUCUGAAGAUCUCUAUCCCCAACUCUUAUUUCUCUCACCAAAACAGCACCAAGUGAUACUUAGUGGAGAAGCCCUCAUUUGAUGAUGAUGAUGACGAUGACAAUGAUGAUGAUGAUAUGAUGAUGAUGAUGCUCUGUGGAGUACAGCUUACCUGAGUGCCUCUGGAUGUGUGACUGGGCUUUUCACCUUCUCCAGGAAGACUGGUCUCACGAAAGACUCAGAACUGUGCUAGGAAUCACUGUCCCUUUGGACUGCACGACACCUAGGUGAGCUGCUGGCACCAAAUCAGGAAUUCUGACCACGAAGAUAGUGAUGACACUGAUGUUGGAAACUGGGAAUGAUUGACAGAAGGGGAACCAUGUUCUGUUCCGCUUUCACAGAGUACAAAUCCAAAAAGCCUAGAUGCAGAGGGAUAGAUCAAGCUCGUGACUCACUAGCACAACAGAAUCAAUGUCUCUGAAGAGGAACUUGGUUGAGGGCCUUUUAAGUUAGUCAGCUCUCUUGAUGUGUAAUUGGCGUGUAGUUGAUUGACAUGUAGAUCCAGGGUGUGAAAACAGACAUGCCACUGGACUCAGAGGGGAUGGAACACAUGAAGAGAUCGGGCUACAUCUGGGCCAUUUGGACACUGACCUUUAUCUUCAUGGAAAAUGGUAAAAUGGCAGGCGGCCUGUGGGUGAGGCUACUGUGCUUUCUGUAUGGUUCCUGCUCGUGCAUGCUCUGCAUGUGCUCCCACCAGGCCAAUAAGAGACAAAAUUCCUCUUAAAGGAAACAGCUGAGAGUGCCCCUCAUUCACCCUGAGCACCUCCUUAUUAAGCAAGAGUUGGGCAACCUCAAGUGAGCUCAGAGACUCAUGAAGAAUGACGAAUGGAUUGAGAAAUAACAGGCAUGAGGAACGGGGGAGGUGGUUGUGAGAGAACCCAUGGUGUUUCUUUGUUGUUGCUAUGGCAACCAGCCAGGGACUACUUUAAGGAAGAAUUCAUUGAAGUAUCAAAGGGUUUCUAUGUUCUGGCACUAUAUGGGGAAAACUGUCUGGAGAUGUCUAGACUAUCUAGAGAUGGUGUAGAGAUUUUUGGAGUGGCCAAGGGACUGUGAUUCUGGCCAGUUUAUGUGUUUUGUUGUUUUGUUUUACUUCUCAUUUCUACAAGAUAAACUGUUCUCUGUCCUGAUGGUGUUAGGGAAGCCUCAUGGUAUUUUCCUAAAAUGUCCUCUUGAAGAUACAAGUGCCCACUUGGCCUUUCUGAAACUGAACCUACCAUGUUCACACACCACACACUUUUUACCCCCUUGCCUCUUGGUCUGUGUUGCUAUGGUAGUAAUGGCGUGUGCACGCAUGUGUGUGUUUGUGUGUGUGUGUGUGUGUGUGUGUGUGUGUGUGUGUGUGUUUAUGGCCACAACUCUGGAAUUUACAGGGACUUUUUAUUUUAAGAAAAUUACAGAAGUCAGUUAAGUCCAACAGGCAUUGAGUAAUGUGCCGACCUUAUUUUAAGUUUUUCUUCAAUAUUCAGAGCCUUACUCAGCCACAGGCAGACUUAAAUUGUGUUGAUGAGUGAGUGCUGACCUGCUAAGUUCCUAAAGAUACAGAAAAGGCAGUAAUAAGGUUUCAAAGAGAGUUUUGGAGGCAAAGUAAGAAGGCAACAAAGUAACAGGGCAACAAGAGCUGUUGACAGACAUGUUUUACUCCUUAUCACCAAAGAACAAAGAAGGGUCAGAACAGGGGAAUGUGGUUUCAGAGGCACAAAAGAACCCUUGGAAGGUGACAGAAAAAUGAAGCUUGGCUAGGGUCCAGCGCUGAGGGAGGAGAGAGUGGUAAUUUAUCAACCUCCCACUGCUGGCUGGAGUCACCAAGCUGAAGAGUAAGCAUUGCUUGGACUUCACCCAUGAUGUGUAGGUGUAUCUGUCACCAGCUGAAGUCAUGGCCUUGUCAGGUGCUCCCUAUCUCCUCUCUUAGUAUUCUAGGCCAUCUGUAUCUCCAGCAGGGGGCAAGCAAGGCAUGGAGGGCUGGAAGGAAAAGACACUGGCCAGGUCCUCUCCGUGGUCUGAGAGGGAGGUGACAGAGAGCCCAGUGCAUAGUGAGACCAAGCCUCCCCGAUAGAGGGAAAGUCCAGCAUAGAUCCUCAGUCCUCAUCCCUGGGACCCAGCCUUUCCUAUUAACUUGUCAAGGUACUUUUCUGAGGCUGGGUCUUUCCCCCUCUCAACUUUAAGAUGGGAUUGAGUAAGAUCAAGAGAAAGACCAAGGAAUAGAAAUCAAUAUUUUUUUCAUGGACUACCUUGGAGGAAAAACGAAGCAUAGAGAGUUGUAUUUCACAGUGCAGAACGAUGAUGCUAUACCUAGGGAUGCCCAACAGCAACGGCAACGAAAACAACUGGAAAGCACCGAACGUCAACAAGGACUUGAGGCCCUACUGUGUACACAAAACUGGUGACGACAAUGGCAAGGUCAAAGGGCUCGAUGGAAUUUAUAAGAAGCAGAAGAAAUGGCAGCAGAUCAUAGUUGUCCCCUAAGACGGGGAGUAGGGCCCUCCCUCUGUAGCAGCAAAGUACACACAGCAGAGCAGGCUCUCUCACUGCUGAGAAUUAACCAGCAUUCAUAUUUUGGCCUAUUUGCUUUUGUCCUGCUUUCCUUUGUGAGGACCUUUUAACCACAUAGAGAGUAAUCAAUGUAUUUUAGCACAAUCCAUGGCUCAAUUCUUACCAACAUGAGCCACCAGCUGGAGCUGCUCUCUCCUUCCUGCAAGGUCAGGAGAUAGGGAAAGGGGUGUGUGUGUGUGUGUGUAACCAGUGAGGGGAAAGUUUUCAGGGAUGAUGGUUGGUCUUGGUUGCCACCCUGACUGGAUUGGUAAAACACACCUAUCCUGUGCCUGUGAGUGUGUGUCUAGAAAAGUGCAUCCUGGUAGAGUGACUGGGGGAGAAACACUCCUAUUGAAUCGGGGCAGCACCACAAUAAGGGCGUACGAGGGAUCCAUUCAGCAGUCAGCGCUACAUAGCUUCAGGCUCACACACUGGGGAUGGGUGCUUUCUAACUGCACCACUUAGUUUAAUAAAAAUAUUUCAAAGCUGCUCUUUCAAGACAAAGGACUUGGUACAGAGUUCAGAUGCUCUGGCCAUCUUCCCAACAACUUCUGUGCUGGAGGAUCAGUGCUGGAUUCCCUGAGUUCCUUGAGGUGGGGAGUCAGAGGUAGAGAGUUCGGCAAAGAGCCUCGGAGACUUCGAGGACCAAAUCACUAAAAGGUGGGGCUGAAAAGGAAAAAAAAAAAACCCCUGCGCUGGUCCAGUUUUUGGUGCAUAGUUUCCCUUUCUAUCCUGAUGCUACACGGAGAAGAAAAACGUUGAGUGCAGAGGCCUGAGUUCAUGGUGACUGCCCCUAGAGAGUUUCUACAGCACCAAAUGAAGAUGUCCGGUAAGUUUAGGAAGAGAGCAUAGGGGCAAAGGACAGCCUUGGGUUCCCAAAGACAUGGACAGUAUGGGGGAAGAGGAAGUUUCUGAACCACUGUAGGUAAGAAAUUGAAUGUUUUAAUCCCGCUCACUGGGGGCAGGACACUCGAUGGGAACUGCUGAAUAUAACCUCCAUAGGCAGGACAACUAGGAUUCUCAGGGAGGACUCUGCAUGGCAGAGAUCAGCUUUCUUUCCUUGAGGGCACAUGAUGGGCCAUUCUCAGAUACACAGCAGACUCAUAUAGAUGGGAGCCUUGCUGCCUGACAAGAGCUGGUGAUAGAGAGAAGGACAAACAGAGAAAUAGUGAAGGCACAUGGUCUCAGCCCCAAGCAGAGAGCAGAGCUGGGAAGUUGGUGAGGAGAGCUUUUGAGCAUGGAGCUCUGAGCAAAGGGCUCUGCAGCCAUGAUGUCUGGGAUCAGGGUAAAGCUCUUAGAGAC
rnacentral:sRNA from 1 species